rnacentral:rRNA from 1 species
AUGCGGGAGUUCAAAAAUUCGUAUCUUUUCCAAUAUGAUCAUGGACCGUCCGGUGGUUCAGGGCCCGGUUCUCAUGGGCCGGGUUAUGGUGGAGGCAGUUCUGGCUUAGGAUUUCAAGGUAAUCAAAGCGGGUAUGGCAAUCAGGGUAGUCAGGGCAACCAGGGUGGUUAUAAUCAUCAGGGGAGUCAGCAGCAGCAACAGUCGGGUUACCAGAGCAACCCAAAGCAGUUGAAUAGUGGGCAGUAUCAUGUCUUCACCACUAGCCUGUGCAAGCGCGAUCAGAAGCUUCAUAAAAGGGCAGUGAACUCCGUUGAACCGACGGUGCCCCGUUACUUUGCGCUGGUCUGA